rnacentral:rRNA from 1 species
UACGAAGGGGGCUAGCGUUGCUCGGAAUCACUGGGCGUAAAGGGUGCGUAGGCGGGUCUUUAAGUCAGGGGUGAAAUCCUGGAGCUCAACUCCAGAACUGCCUUUGAUACUGAGGAUCUUGAGUACGGGAGAGGUGAGUGGAACUGCGAGUGUAGAGGUGAAAUUCGUAGAUAUUCGCAAGAACACCAGUGGCGAAGGCGACACGCUGGGCCAUACCUGACGCUAAAGCGCGACAGCAUGGGGAGCAAACGGG